rnacentral:rRNA from 1 species
GCGCAGCAGGCGCGAAAAUUUUGCAAUGCGCGCAAGCGUGACAAAGUCAUCCCGAGUGCCACCCGCUGAGGGUGGCUUUUCCACAGUCUAAAAAGCUGUGGGAAUAAGGGGAGGGUAAGUCGGGUGUCAGCCGCCGCGGUAAUACCCGCUCCCCGAGUAGUGACCACUAUUAUUGGGCCUAAAGCGUCCGUAGCCGGUUUUGUAAGUUCCUGGGUAAAUCCCACAGCUUAACUGCGGGAAUUCCAGAAAUACUGCAGAGCUAGGGGCCGGGAGACGCAGAAGGUACUCCUGGGGUAGGGGUGAAAUCCUAUAAUCCUAGGGGGACCACCAGUGGCGAAGGCGUUCUGCGAGAACGGGCUCGACAGUGAGGGACGAAAGCCAGGGGCGCAAACGGGAUUAGAUACCCGCGUAGUCC